rnacentral:rRNA from 1 species
UACGUAGGGUGCAAGCGUUUGUCCGGAAUUAUUGGGCGUAAAGAGCUCGUAGGCGGUCUGUCACGUCGGAUGCGAAAACUCGGGGCUCAACCCCGAGCCUGCAUACGAUACGGGCAGACUUGAGUUCGGCAGGGGAGACUGGAAUUCCUGGUGUAGCGGUGAAAUGCGCAGAUAUCAGGAGGAACACCGGUGGCGAAGGCGGGUCUCUGGGCCGAUACUGACGCUGAGGAGCGAAAGCGUGGGGAGCGAACAGG